CCCUCUCCUCAAGAUUUCCCUGCUUCUCAUCCAACCGGUCCUCUUUAUUCAGAAUCGCGUUAUUUAUUCAGAUCUUCGAUUUGGGCCAUCGCCUGUGAAAUCCAUGGACUAAUCGAUGUAAUAUCUUAGUUGAUGUGUAGUUCUUGAUUUUUAGCCCAUCAGUCAGAUGAGUACAUGAUCUGUGGAGAAGAACAUCACCAUGGAAAACUUAGUUCGUUAACUGUUCCUAAGCUAGUUCGUUGACUAUUCCUGAGUCGAAGGUUGAGUCCUGUUAAAUAAACAGUGAAAUCUGCAACUACUAUACUGUCAAAUCACAUCCUUGCACAACUAGUUCAGCAGAGAUCAUUAUCUGUUUAUCCUAUUGUUGUACAGUAGGCAGACAUGGUGUUUGCACUUGUGAGAAAUUUAUCUUAUGGUGUUGUAGUUCUAAUUGGUACAUAUUUGAUUUUCCUUAUAAUUUUUUUUUGUUCAUGCUAUGGAUACUAGUAUUUACCUUAGGUGAUUGUUCCAAGAUACGCACAUAAACCUUUCAAUAGAUAUAAAAAAGUUCAAUGUUUCACUGAUGUUUCCUUUUGCAUUAGUUCUUGAGGAUAGUUGUUAUUGGGUUAUCUUGUUGUGCUCCAUUCUGACAGUAGAUUCUUUACUUCAGUGCAUGCUGAUCUUUGAGACUGCACAAGUUCUGCAGCUGAUAUACUCAAUGGAGGAUCUCCCAGAGCCACUGCCUGCAGAGAUUGUCAAGAGGUGCCUGCUGAGCGCUUUGCACUGAUUCCGUUCCUCUCUUUGUUGCCUGUAGGAACAAGGGGAUCUUCUGACGGCGCACGCGCUCGCAUUCUGUUUGGCGUUGUUGUUCUAGCUGUUAGCGCUAGCUCCAUUCUACAUGGAAAGGGAGGGAAUCGCAUCCGUAUCCGUGGAAUCCUCAGAUGGAUCUGCAGGCUAUGGAUCGAUGCCACAGUAUUGGCCAAACACAGCCAGUUCAUGUUUAUCUGCAAUAUUGUAUUUUUACUAUCUUUGCCAAUUUGAUGCGUAUCUGCAAAAAUUCAAUAGGCCAAUUACCAUAUCAUAUGCUCCAAGGUUUAUAGAUUCUGUUUUUUAUUUUAUCUCAAGCAUUGUACCAAGACUGGACAUAUUUCUUAUAUUGUAAAUAUUCUGUCAAUAUGCAAACAACAACAUAGCUAGAGAUGCUAUGUUAUAAUUAAUGUCUACUUUGUUGUAAAUUCUUGCUUAUAUUGGUGGUUUUCCUUCUGUUCCAAGACUGGACAUAUUUCUCUCUGGAUUGUGCAAGUUAAACGAACUUCUCUAAUUUGAAUAAGUUGGGAUCCCGACUUCCAUCGGUCCUUUCUUAGGUGGAUGUGUAUAGGUGCAGUAGUUUAUCAUCUGUCAACUUUAUAGGUACUAGAGUCAACAAAAAACAAAGCUCAAUUCACUUAUCUACAAAGUAAAGCAUUCAGAAAUAAGUUUGCAGUGUUGAAUCAGUACACAUCUUUUAUCUUGAAUUUUUGUAGUAUGGAAAACACAUUAGUAAAUCUGAAUAACUUUGACAUAUUUUCUUGCACUGGAUUGGUACCUGUGAUUGCCUUGUACAAAUAUAUCAUAAUUCUGCUAACACCGAUCCUUGUGUAUGUCUAUAGCUGUUAGUUCUUUGAUCUGUCCACCGAGGAAGAGGAGGCAUCUUUGAUCUGUCCACAGUGUAUGUCCUUGGUCUGUCCCACUCUCUUCCUUGUCUUAUUUGGACACAUUGGUGAAUCUGCUAUUCUUGUGAUUUUCCAAUUCUAUGUAUAAGAAAUGAAUCUGUAGCCUUUAAUGAAUUCAAUGUAUGAUUGUGAUGGGAAUUAUAUGAUAUCAACAUGUUUUUAUCCUUGAUUAGUAUCGAUUUUGGUAUCUCUUAAGCGACACAUACUUUUCUCGCUCUGAGUUCCUAAGCAUGGUAUUAUAUUUGUGUUAGCUAGAGCAUAAAAUCUUUGAAUUUGGUGAACAUUAGUAGCUAAUUAAGUUGUGACCCAUUGAUGUCCUGCUACGUUUAAUUUGUUACUGCCAUGGUAUUGAUACUGUAGUGUUUAGAAUAUGAUCCAUUCUAAGUUCUGGUUUCUCCGAAGGGACACUUCUAGUCUGCAAGUAGAAGGCAGCGUUAGAUUAAUAUGCAACAAGCUGAUCUAUAGCAAAUAAUGUUGCAUGUAACUUUUUUAGCUGGUUCCUCUUUUACAGGAGCUGCACGCUUAAUAUGAAGCCAAGCGUGAAGAGUUGUAGUAGUGUAAAGAUUGUAAUAGACUAAUUUAGUGUUUUUUGGAUGAAUUUCAUUUGUUCUGUGAUCUGUUCAAAAUAUUGAUUUCGUCUGUGAUUUGUAUACCUAUGAAAUGGAAACCUCACAAAUUGUUUGACAAAUUACAAAA